ACGUAGGGUGCGAGCGUUAAUCGGAAUUACUGGGCGUAAAGCGUGCGCAGGCGGCUCUAUAAGACAGAUGUGAAAUCCCCGGGCUUAACCUGGGAACUGCGUUUGUGACUGUAGGGCUAGAGUGUGGCAGAGGGGGGUGGAAUUCCACGUGUAGCAGUGAAAUGCGUAGAGAUGUGGAGGAACACCGAUGGCGAAGGCAGCCCCCUGGGUUAACACUGACGCUCAUGCACGAAAGCGUGGGUAGCAAACAGGAUUAGAUACCCUGGUAGUCCACGCCCUAAACGAUGCGAACUAGGUGUUGGAGAAGGAGACUUCUUUAGUACCGUAGCUAACGCGUGAAGUUCGCCGCCUGGGGAGUACGGUCGCAAGAUUA
rnacentral:rRNA from 1 species